AUUCCAAUGCACAUAUCACAUGACAAUGGCCUUUUUAUUUUACUCACAUGUACGUGAAAUCUAUGUAAAGAGCAAAGAAUGUGGAACCAAGGAGUCACAUGGCAAGAUCCAGACCCUCGGGGAUCCUGUCGCAGGUGAACUUGGAGUUUUCACAUGGUGCUUGUUUUCCAUGAGUGAAAAAUCUGUGGGGAGAAUUCCACUAUGAUUUCCGCAGAGUCAAGUUAUGUAUAAGAGAUUCCCUCAGGAAGCCUCAUCGGGCUAUGCAUGAGGCUGUGAAGGUAACGCCAUAGCUGCAACAGACACCAGAGAAUCCAGGAUGUGGGAGAUGCACGAAUGUGGACCAGUUCUUGAGGAAACCAGCAGAUAUCGGAUGAAGCCAGUUCUGAAAGACACUAUGUAUUUCAGCUGACACCACCAUAGGACUGGGUCUGACAGAGCCCACUGGGACCCACUGAUAACACCCUGUGCUCCAGAUAUUGCCUGCCAGGCUGCAGUCUUGAUGCUUUCCUGGUUCUUCUGUCUGGAAUGAAGAUGUCUCCUUCGUGCAUUGUACAUUGGAAAUUUGUAACUUUCUUUUUUAUUUGAUAGAGCCUUAAAAUUAAGAGUUUGCCUUCAGUAUCAGAAAA